GCUACGGGUGGCAGCAGUGAGGAAUAUUGGGCAAUGGAGGAAACUCUGACCCAGCAACGCCGCGUGAAUGAUGAAGGUCUUCGGAUUGUAAAGUUCUUUUCUAAGGGAAGAAGAAAGUGACGGUACCUUAGGAAUAAGCCUCGGCUAACUACGUGCCAGCAGCCGCGGUAAGACGAAGGAGGCAAGCGUUAUCCGGAAUUACUGGGUGUAAAGGGAGCGUAGACGGUAAUGCAAGUCUGGAGUGAAAGGCGGGGGCCCACCCCCCGGACUGCUCUGGGAACUGUGUAACUGGAGUGCAGGAGAGGCAGGCGGAAUUCCUAGUGUAGCGGUGAAAUGCGUAGAUAUUAGGAGGAACACCAGUGGCGAAGGCGGCCUGCUGGACUGUAACUGACGUUGAGGCUCGAAAGCGUGGGGAGCAAACAGGAUUAGAUACCCUUGUAGU
rnacentral:rRNA from 1 species